rnacentral:miRNA from 1 species
AUUCUGUGGCUGAAGCGAGAU